rnacentral:rRNA from 1 species
GAUCAUGCCUCAGGAUGAACGCUAGCGGCAGGCCUAACACAUGCAAGUCGAGGGGCAUCACAGGUAGCAAUACCGGGUGGCGACCGGCGCACGGGUGCGUAACGCGUAUGCAACCUACCCAUAACAGGGGGAUAACACUGAGAAAUUGGUACUAAUACCCCAUAACAUCAGAACCGGCAUCGGUUUUGGUUGAAAACUCCGGUGGUUAUGGAUGGGCAUGCGUUGUAUUAGCUAGUUGGUGAGGG